rnacentral:rRNA from 1 species
AACGCUGCGGCAUGCCUUACACAUGCAAGUCGAACGGCAGGCACGGGAGCAAUCCUGGUGGCGAGUGGCGAACGGGUGAGUAAUAUAUCGGAACGUGCCCAGUCGUGGGGGGAUAACGUAGCGAAAGCUACGCUAAUACCGCAUACGAUCUAUGGAUGAAAGCGGGGGAUCGCAAGACCUCGCGCGAUUGGAGCGGCCGAUAUCAGAUUAGGUAGUUGGUGAGGUAAAGGCUCACCAAGCCGACGAUCUGUAGCUGGUCUGAGAGGACGACCAGCCACACUGGGACUGAGACACGGCCCAGACUCCUACGGGAGGCAGCAGUGGGGAAUUUGGACAAUGGGCGCAAGCCUGAUCCAGCAAUGCCGCGUGCAGGAUGAAGGCCUUCGGGUUGUAAACUGCUUUGUACGGAACGAAACGGUGAGCUCUAAUACAGUUUGCUAAUGACGGUACCGUAAGAAUAAGCACCGGCUAACUACGUG